rnacentral:misc_RNA from 1 species
CGCGCUGGUGCGUCGAACUGUCGAACAGCGGCCUCCUCAGUUCAAGGCCGCCUGUACGAUGUUGCAGGCGGUCGAAGGUAUCGGGUUCCUGUGUUGCGUGCCCACGCAAGUGGAAAUCGGUUCGUUUCUGUCGGAAAUUCGCCCGAUGCCCGUUGAGGGCAUGAGGUGAACGCCGUGGUGCCUCCCGUGGUCCACCCGGGUCCGCUCGGACCGUCGUGGCUCACGGAAGGCAGCCCGUGCUUCGGGAUGCGGAAGGCAUUGUGCGACCGAGGGAUCGUGGCCCUCGGUCGUUGAAAACUGUCCGUUAAACAAGAACGACCCACGACUCCCGUUUCCGGCCCAAGGCGGAGCGGGCGUCGAGGUCUCGGAGGAAUGC